CUUGACUUCUCACUGAGCUUCUAAAAUCGAUCAAUUAUGUCGUUCUAUCAUUGUAUUUAGUAAUCGUCUAUGUUGCCGGUGUUCUUCUUCUGACGUUUACAUUAUCACGCUACCCAACACAACGUGGUCCUCUUUGUUACGCAUUCCAACAACAACAUGGACAAUCGACAUGUCCCAGAAUACAAGUGUGUGGACAGGACGAGGCGUGAUUCAUUGAGGAUUUGAGCAUCGCUGGACAGGCAGUCUUUCAUACUGGAUGUUAUGGGUUUCGAAAAUGCGCCGCUGACCAUAUGUUUAUCGGAACUCAUGUCCUUAUCGGACGACGUUCUUUGCAAAAACCAAAUGAUACCAAAGAUGGUGGUUCCGAUGAUUCGGAAGAUGUGCCUCUGACAACAAAGCGGUGCUGUCGAAAGGAUUUCUGUAGUAAAUAUGAAAUAUUUUAAAGUUUUUUUUUGACGUUUUUGUUAAUUUACAAAAUAAAAAAAACAAUGUUUCAGAUUCGCAACUUUUCGCGGUAGUUAUGAUAUUUGUGUGAACACAGUAAUACUUCACAUUCACCAUGCUCUAAAAUAUCCAUUUUACGCAUCUUUUGACGAUUUAAAAACCUGAAAAUUAUAAACCGUUGCAACGCGAAACGAUUGAAUAAUUUGGAAAAUUGUGUUGUUGUCGUUAUAUUUUGUGACACCACGAGGAUUGCAAA